AGAGUUUGAUCCUGGCUCAGGACGAACGCUGGCGGCGUGCUUAACACAUGCAAGUCGAACGGAAAGGCCCCCACCUUUUGGUGGGGGUGCUCGAGUGGCGAACGGGUGAGUAACACGUGGGUGAUCUGCCCUGUACUUCGGGAUAAGCUUGGGAAACUGGGUCUAAUACCGGAUAGGACCAUGGUUUAGUGUCUCAUGGUGGAAAGAUUUUUUGGUGCAGGAUGAGCUCGCGGCCUAUCAGCUUGUUGGUGGGGUAAUGGCCUACCAAGGCGUCGACGGGUAGCCGGCCUGAGAGGGUGGACGGCCACAUUGGGACUGAGAUACGGCCCAGACUCCUACGGGAGGCAGCAGUGGGGAAUAUUGCACAAUGGGCGCAAGCCUGAUGCAGCGACGCCGCGUGGGGGAUGACGGCCUUCGGGUUGUAAACUCCUUUCGUUAGGGACGAAGCCGCACCUUUUUUUGGGUGUGGUGACGGUACCUUUGUUAAGAAGCACCGGCUAACUACGUGCCAGCAGCCGCGGUAAUACGUAGGGUGCGAGCGUUGUCCGGAAUUACUGGGCGUAAAGAGCUCGUAGGUGGUUUGUUGCGUCGUCUGUGAAAUUCCGGGGCUUAACUUCGGGGUGGCAGGCGAUACGGGCAUAACUAGAGUGCUGUAGGGGAGACUGGAAUUCCUGGUGUAGCGGUGGAAUGCGCAGAUAUCAGGAGGAACACCGAUGGCGAAGGCAGGUCUCUGGGCAGUAACUGACGCUGAGGAGCGAAAGCAUGGGGAGCGAACAGGAUUAGAUACCCUGGUAGUCCAUGCUGUAAACGUUGGGCACUAGGUGUGGGGGCCACCCGUGGUUUCUGCGCCGUAGCUAACGCUUUAAGUGCCCCGCCUGGGGAGUACGGCCGCAAGGCUAAAACUCAAAGGAAUUGACGGGGGCCCGCACAAGCGGCGGAGCAUGCGGAUUAAUUCGAUGCAACGCGAAGAACCUUACCAAGGCUUGACAU
rnacentral:rRNA from 1 species